rnacentral:sRNA from 1 species
UAUCACAAGCGUCGAAGCCCGCUCCCGGUCCUUCACGCUUGCGGGAAGGACCGGGAGCGGGCUUCAGACGCGCAAAAGGCAUGAGGACGGAGGAACCGAAAGGGGCCGAGAGUCCGAAUGACUUUCGGAUGUGGGAGCGCGGAGCAGCCGUGUGAUA